rnacentral:lncRNA from 1 species
UUUAUACAAAUAUUUUGCGUAUCUUCUAUUUUGGAGGGGAAGUUGACAAUUUUAAUAGAAAUUUUUCAAUAUUGUACAGCGUAGAUGGAUAUAUAAGAUAGACUAUCUAUCUAAACGCACAUCUACCUAUACUACAGUAUAUUCACACUAUACAAUACAAUACAAUGCAUUCAUCAUAAACUAUUCACACUAAUACGAGAUAUAAAAUUUACUCAAACAAGAUUGUUUGAAAUUGAAUUGUUUAACAUAAGAUUACGCAAGUCAAAUAUUUUCUGACUAUUUAAAUAGAAGGUUUCGUGAUUCUAUUUUAAAUUUUUGUGAUAUGGAUAAUGACUGUACGUAUAUACGUACCCACCAAUCCAAUUAAUAAAAAAUAUCCUAAAAUGUGAAAAUAUAUUAACAAAUAUGGCCUUGUAAAACAAGACUACUCUGACUAUACUACACUAGAGUCAACCCAACCAAGCUCAGCGUACGCGUCAGCUCCCGGUUUGACAAAAAAAAAAAACAUAUACACAAAACCAUUUUUGUUUUUC